GACGAACGCUGGCGGCGUGCCUAAUACAUGCAAGUUGAGCGCUGAAGGUUGGUACUUGUACCAACUGGAUGAGCAGCGAACGGGUGAGUAACGCGUGGGGAAUCUGCCUUUGAGCGGGGGACAACAUUUGGAAACGAAUGCUAAUAACGCAUAAAAACUUUAAACACAAGUUUUAAGUUUGAAAGAUGCAAUUGCAUCACUCAAAGAUGAUCCCGCGUUGUAUUAGCUAGUUGGUGAGGUAAAGGCUCACCAAGGCGAUGAUACAUAGCCGACCUGAGAGGGUGGUCGGCCACAUUGGGACUGAGACACGGCCCAAACUCCUACGGGAGGCAGCAGUAGGGAAUCUUCGGCAAUGGACGAAAGUCUGACCGAGCAACGCCGCGUGAGUGAAGAAGGUUUUCGGAUCGUAAAACUCUGUUGGUAGAGAAGAACGUUGGUGAGAGUGGAAAGCUCAUCAAGUGACGGUAACUACCCAGAAAGGGACGGCUAACUACGUGCCAGCCGCCGCAGUAA
rnacentral:rRNA from 1 species